rnacentral:rRNA from 1 species
AUUCACAGCCAUACCACCCUGAACGUGCCUGAUCUUGUCUCAUCUCAGAAGCUAGGCAGGGUUGGGCUUGGUUAGUACUUGGAUGGGAGACUCAACAGGGCCAUCAUUAUCACAGACGUUAAGAGAA